GAAAAUCCAAGCUCUAGAUGCCUCUGAGGUGCAGUCUGAAAGGAAAACACCUGCAUGCCGGGGGCACCAGGAGAUGUUCCAUUAUUUCUGCGAGGAUGAUUUGUGUGUCAUGAAUCCAAGGACCACAAAUCUCAUAAUGCCAGCUUGAUUGAUGAAGCUGCCCAGAAUUACCAGGGGCAGAGUCAAGCGCAGAUGGAAGUCUUACAGCCAAAGGAGGAGACGGUACAAGUGAAGGCACAGGCGAACAGAGCAUCCGUGACUUCAGGGACCAGGUGGAACAUGAGAACCUGAGCACCUGCAUCAGAUCCUAGAGGAGGAGAAGACUUUUCUGCUGUCACAGAUUUACUGGCUGGGUCAUUAGGAAGCUGAAGCAGGGAAACACUAUGUUCCCUCCACGGAGCCACAGUUGAACAAUCUCAGGGAGCUCAUUGGUUCCCUGAAGAUCAAGCAGAAAAUGCCACCCAGGCAGCUGCUGGAGGUGAGUCCUUUGGGGAAAGAACUGUAGAGAGGUGGUAGCCCAUCCCUAGUCUCAGGUCAGAGCAUAGGCCACUGGCAGAAUACCUGAGAUUGCCCGACCAUCCUACCUCUAGCCCAGUGCUGUCCAAUAGCAAUAUGUGAGCCACAUGUAUUAGA
rnacentral:lncRNA from 13 species